rnacentral:ncRNA from 14 species
CGGAUGUGGCGAAAUUGGUAGACGCACUAGACUUAGGAUCUAGCGCCGCGAGGCAUGGGGGUUCGAGUCCCUCUAUCCGC